GCACCAUGCAGUCGAGCGGAUGAGUGGAGCUUGCUCCAUGAUUCAGCGGCGGACGGGUGAGUAAUGCCUAGGAAUCUGCCUGGUAGUGGGGGACAACGUUUCGAAAGGAACGCUAAUACCGCAUACGUCCUACGGGAGAAAGUGGGGGAUCUUCGGACCUCACGCUAUCAGAUGAGCCUAGGUCGGAUUAGCUAGUUGGUGAGGUAAAGGCUCACCAAGGCGACGAUCCGUAACUGGUCUGAGAGGAUGAUCAGUCACACUGGAACUGAGACACGGUCCAGACUCCUACGGGAGGCAGCAGUGGGGAAUAUUGGACAAUGGGCGAAAGCCUGAUCCAGCCAUGCCGCGUGUGUGAAGAAGGUCUUCUGAUUGUAAAGCACUUUAAGUUGGGAGGAAGGGCAGUAAGUUAAUACCUUGCUGUUUUGACGUUACCAACAGAAUAAGCACCGGCUAACUUCUUGCCAGCAGCCGCGGUAAUACGAAAGGNGCAAGCGUUAAUCGGAAUUACUGG
rnacentral:rRNA from 1 species